AUGUUUCGGGCGGCUUCCCGGGCCGGGACCCUCAAGCCCAUCAGGGCGCGGACGGCCUCCUGCAGGGUUUCUCUCUAUGCAGACGAUGCGGGCAUCUUCGCUAACCCGGUCAAAGAAGAGAUCGACGCCAUCGCUAGGAUCCUUGCCUGUUUUGGGGAUGCAUCGGGCCUCAUCACAAACGUCAGCAAGACCGAGGUGUUCCCCAUUUGCUGCCAGGACAUCGAUCUCCCGGCAAUCCUCUCAGCCUUCCCGGCCAAGCUGGCCUCAUUCCCCGGCCGAUACCUAGGUAUCCCACUACAUACCAGGCGGCUCAGAAGGGUUGACCUCCAACCUCUUCUAGACAAGGCAAUGGGCCGGUUGCCGGGCUGGAAGGGGAAGAACCUGGCGCGACCGGGCAGGGUCUCCCUUGCAAAGUCUGUAUUGUGCGCCAUCGCAAAUCAUCACCUCACUGCGCUCUCGCUUCCCACUUGGGCAAUCCAGAAGCUUAGUAAGAUCACUCGUAACUUCAUCUGGUGCGGGGAAGAGUCGGAAAACGCGUCUGGCAGACAUUCUCUGGUCAAGUGGAAGACUGUCUGCCGGCCU
rnacentral:rRNA from 1 species